GACGAACGCUGGCGGCGUGCCUAACACAUGCAAGUCGAACGGAGAUACUUUUGAGGAGACUUCGGUCAACGAGACUGUAUCUUAGUGGCGGACGGGUGAGUAACGCGUGAGCAAUCUGCCUUUCAGAGGGGGAUAACAUUCUGAAAAGAAUGCUAAUACCGCAUAACGUAUCGAGAUGGCAUCUUCUUGAUACCAAAGGAGCAAUCCGCUGAAAGAUGAGCUCGCGUCUGAUUAGAUAGUUGGUGGGGUAACGGCCUACCAAGUCGACGAUCAGUAGCCGGACUGAGAGGUUGAACGGCCACAUUGGGACUGAGACACGGCCCAGACUCCUACGGGAGCAGCAGUGGGAAUAUUGCACAAUGGGCGCAAGCCUGAUGCAGCAACGCCGCGUGAGGGAAGACGGGUCUUCGGAUUGUAAACCUCUGUCCUUGGUGAAGAACAAUGACGGUAGCCUUGGAGGAAGCCACGGCUAACUACGU
rnacentral:rRNA from 1 species